rnacentral:rRNA from 1 species
UACGUAGGGGGCAAGCGUUGUCCGGAUUUAUUGGGCGUAAAGCGCUCGCAGGUGGUCCGAUGCGUCGUGCGUGAAAGCCCCCGGCUCAACUGGGGAGGGUCAUUCGAAACUGGUCGACUCGAAGGCAGGAGAGGGUAGUGGAAUUCCCGGUGUAGUGGUGAAAUGCGUAGAUAUCGGGAGGAACACCAGUGGCGAAGGCGACUACCUGGCCUGUUCUUGACGCUGAGGCGCGAAAGCUAGGGGAGCAAACGGG